CCCAACUAAUCUAAUAGGUUUAGCCUACACUUUUUGGGUGGGAGAUGUGAUUCCCAUCCAAUGAUCAAUAACAUAGGUUAUGCAAAAUAGAUAAAUUCAAUUCCCAUGAUUUUUUUUUAUUAUUAGUAUUUUGCUUUCUAAUUGCACACUUAAUUACACAAAGAGCGAAAUCGCAAUGGGUAUACCUGGCAACCAAUCAUCUAAACCGGCAACCAAUCAUCUAUACCGUCAGCCAGGUGAGAUGUAAAAUUCUAUUUGUAUUCAAUAUUUUAAAGAUGUGUAUUUCUAAACGUUUCACCCCAAAUGUGAAGAUAUUCGUUUUACCCUUAAAUAAUCGGUGGUGAUUUUGAUAUAAAGAUAACGUUAGCUUUGUAACGCAAACAUUCUUGCCAGUUAGCCAAAUACUAGUUAUCACAAGGUUUGCUGUUAAUGUUAGUUAAUCAUUUCAAGUUUAGAACAAAGUAAAUCGAAAUGUUAUUUUUUCUGAACAUUUGUGUGUAACGUUAACUUACACCGUGUGCGUGCGUGUGGCCUGUCACAAUCAAGGCCUCAUAUGCGCCCCUACAAGGCUAUGUUCGAAAUCGACCUAUGUUAUCCACGACUUGAAGGGACAACCACAGUGUUUUCAAUCAUAUUAUAUACAUUUAUAACGUGAGUACAACCGAUAUACACUUAAAGUGAAUUACACAGUCGGUGAAAGUCGCGCCGAAUGAAUUCCGCGUCUCGGCAUCCUUCAGACCAGACGUACACAGGGUUCGAUUUUGCUCACUCGUUUUCAUUCACUUCAAGUACACUACCGUAUAUUAGUUUAUUAAUGUCUGGAAACAGCCACUGCCAACGGACUGAGGUUAAUUUAGUUGUAUAUUUGAUAUUCGUUUGAUAUUCACGACAAUGGUCAUUAUAAUCUCUGUUUUUGUCACCUUGGGUGCUUCUCAUUUCUUAUUUGUGACAAAUCAGGUUCUCCCUCGUCAGGACCCCAAGCGAUCUCAAAUUAGUUUUAAUUGGUAGGCCUACUCUCUUUAGUGUCUAAUUACAAUUCCUACAAAAUCAUGUUAUGAUAAAUCCUUUUUGAACCACUUUAAAAUGACCAUUAAUAUCUGUAACUUAUUAUUUAGCAUACUAGCACAGAUACCGAUUGGCCUGAUAGCAUACACGCAUUUACACCUACUGUACAUGUAUUCAGUCAUCUUUAAUGCAAUUAUGUGUUAAAAAAGAUCAGGGUCAUUAAGAAAGAGGAUUCAUUGUGAAACGAAGAUCUCCGUAGGUUUAUGCAGUGUUGAAUAUGUUUUUCAUCUCUUUCAGCAUGUAUGUAGUUGGUCGACAUUGCAGCGCGCUGAUGAGUAUCGCUCUUACGGUUAAUACAGAGGCAGCAAAAAUCUGGGAUCUGCAUUGGCCCUUCGAAGUCUGGACUGGAGAAUGUUUUUACAGUUUAAUGAAUUAAAUUUUAAUAAAAGUUUUUAAAUGGA